rnacentral:rRNA from 1 species
AGAGUUUGAUCCUGGCUCAGGAUGAACGCUGGCGGCGUGCUUAAUACAUGCAAGUCGAACGAAGCACCUCUCCCGUUGAUUGACCUAGCUUGCUAGAGAUUGAAACAAUUGAGGUGACUGGGUGGCGGACGGGUGAGUAACGCGUGGGAAACCUGCCUUGUACUGGGGGAUAACAGUUGGAAACGACUGCUAAUACCGCAUAAGCGCACAGUAUCGCAUGAUACAGUGUGAAAAACUCCGGUGGUACAAGAUGGACCCGCGUCUGAUUAGCUAGUUGGAGGGGUAACGGCCCACCAAGGCAACGAUCAGUAGCCGACUUGAGAGAGUGAUCGGCCACAUUGGGACUGAGACACGGCCCAAACUCCUACGGGAGGCAGCAGUAGGGAAUAUUGCACAAUGGGGGAAACCCUGAUGCAGCGACGCCGCGUGAAGGAUGAAGUAUUUCGGUAUGUAAACUUCUAUCAGCAAGGAAGAAAAUGACGGUACUUGACUAAGAAGCCCCGGCUAAAUACGUGCCAGCAGCCGCGGUAAUACGUAUG